UACAGAGGGGGCAAGCGUUGUUCGGAAUUACUGGGCGUAAAGGGCGCGUAGGCGGCCUGCUAAGUCGAACGUGAAAUCCCCAGGCUCAACCUGGGAACUGCGCCCGAUACUGACAGGCUUGAAUCCGGGAGAGGGAUGUGGAAUUCCAGGUGUAGCGGUGAAAUGCGUAGAUAUCUGGAGGAACACCAAUAGCGAAGGCAGCUCGCUGGGACGGUAUUGACGCUAAGGCGCGAAAGCGUGGGGAGCAAACAGG
rnacentral:rRNA from 1 species